rnacentral:rRNA from 1 species
CAGCAGCCGCGGUAAUACGUAGGUGGCAAGCGUUGUCCGGAAUUAUUGGGCGUAAAGGGCUCGCAGGCGGUUUCUUAAGUCUGAUGUGAAAGCCCCCGGCUCAACCGGGGAGGAUCAUUGGAAACUGGGAAACUUGAGUGCAGAAGAGGAGAGUGGAAUUCCACGUGUAGCGGUGAAAUGCGUAGAGAUGUGGAGGAACACCAGUGGCGAAGGCGACUCUCUGGUCUGUAACUGACGCUGAGGAGCGAGAGCGUGGGGAGCGAACAGGAUUAGAGACCCGAGUAGUCCCUGUCUCUUAUAC